rnacentral:rRNA from 1 species
GACGAACGCUGGCGGCGUGCUUAACACAUGCAAGUCGAGCGGUAAGGCCCUUCGGGGUACACGAGCGGCGAACGGGUGAGUAACACGUGGGUAACCUGCCCUGCACUUUGGGAUAACCUCGGGAAACCGGGGCUAAUACCGGAUAUGACAUGCCAUCGCAUGGUGGUGUGUGGAAAGUUCCGGCGGUGUGGGAUGGGCCCGCGGCCUAUCAGCUUGUUGGUGGGGUGAUGGCCUACCAAGGCGACGACGGGUAGCCGGCCUGAGAGGGCGACCGGCCACACUGGGACUGAGACACGGCCCAGACUCCUACGGGAGGCAGCAGUGGGGAAUAUUGCGCAAUGGGCGAAAGCCUGACGCAGCGACGCCGCGUGAGGGAUGACUGCCUUCGGGUUGUAAACCUCUUUCAGCGCCGAAGAAGCGAAAGUGACGGUAGGCGCAGAAGAAGCACCGGCUAACUACGUGCCAGCAGCCGCGUAAUAC